rnacentral:lncRNA from 1 species
UCUUGAUAUUUUGAGUUGACUUGAUUGUUUGGUUGAUGUGUUCUUCCUCAUCUCAAAUCAUUGAUAGAUGGACUUGAGGUUGAUCAACCUUCUUUGAUCCAAAAUUGUUGAUAGAUGAUUGUGAAUCAUCUUCAUUACUUUGCAUCAAUGAUAGGUUAACCCUCGAUGCACCAUAUUUUGAGUCCUUUGAUUUGAGAAUAGAAUCAUCC